rnacentral:rRNA from 1 species
CUGAAGCCUGGUGCUUGCACCGGGUGGAUGAGUGGCGAACGGGUGAGUAACACGUGAGUAACCUGCCCCUGACUUCGGGAUAAGCCCGGGAAACUGGGUCUAAUACCGGAUACGACUGCCGGACGCAUGUCUGGUGGUGGAAAGUUUUUUCGGUUGGGGAUGGGCUCGCGGCCUAUCAGUUUGUUGGUGAGGUAAUGGCUCACCAAGACGACGACGGGUAGCCGGCCUGAGAGGGCGACCGGCCACACUGGGACUGAGACACGGCCCAGACUCCUACGGGAGGCAGCAGUGGGGAAUAUUGCACAAUGGGGGAAACCCUGAUGCAGCGACGCAGCGUGCGGGAUGACGGCCUUCGGGUUGUAAACCGCUUUCAGCAGGGAAGAAGCGCAAGUGACGGUACCUGCAGAAGAAGUACCGGCUAACUACGUGCCAGCAGCCGCGGUAAUACGUAGGGUACGAGCGUUGUCCGGAAUUAUUGGGCGUAAAGAGCUCGUAGGUGGUUGGUCACGUCUGCUGUGGAAACGCAACGCUUAACGUUGCGCGUGCAGUGGGUACGGGCUGACUAGAGUGCAGUAGGGGAGUCUGGAAUUCCUGGUGUAGCGGUGAAAUGCGCAGAUAUCAGGAGGAACACCGGUGGCGAAGGCGGGACUCUGGGCUGUAACUGACACUGAGGAGCGAAAGCAUGGGG